UCCAGUUUAGAGAAAAAAAAAAUCAAAGACACAAAUCGCCAUGAUUCAAAACCAUUAUUUCUCCCCAUAUCUAUCAACUUUUUUUUUCCCAAAACCGAUACAUUCAAAACCUCUUUUUUUCGGUUUUCAAUCUUCAUCAGACCUUUAGGUGGAUUUAUGUUCAGGUAUAACAUCUCCAUCUCUUUGAUUCAAUUUUGUUGGUGUUAAAUUGGAUUCCUCUUAACCUAAUCAACACGAAGAAAUCUAAGUUUCUUAGAAAGAUUUCUCUAUUUCGCGAGGUUGGUCUGCUAUAAUGUUUUUCUGGUAUUGAAAAGGGUUUUGACUGAACGGCUUCAACAAUUUCAUGAGAAACAAAUGUUAAGUCAUUCAAUUUUGGUAUGGGUUUUCAAUUUUUCCCUAUGGGUUUUCUUAAAUGGAAAGUUGUGCUUGAUUGGGGUUUUCCUGGCAUUUAUCUGUAUUGUUGUUGCUAUGGAGGUGCUUCUUGUUAGGUUAGUUACGGGUAUAUGGUUAUGGCUAGUGGGGGCAGAUGCUCUGUGGUCUGUGAAGUUUGAGUUUGGAAGGAAGGACAGGAGGGGGGAACUAUGCGCACCUGGUUAAUCUAGUUCCAAGGAAGGUAUUUUGCAAUACCCAUUAUCACAUUUGAUCUUGUGAAGAGUUUGGAAUUUGGGAGGUUUAAUUAUAGUCGUGGAUGAUGAAGCUGUGAUUCGCCAUACUUGGGUUGAGCUAGAGCUCAAACAGAUACAUGUUGUCGGGAUAUGUGGCUGGGGUAGUGUAUGUGAGACGAUUGAUGGGGAAUUGUUAGAAUAUAGUUCACACAAUCAGAUGGCUUGCGGGAGUAUCAGUGACGGCCUUGUGAAAACAUCAUCUGCUCUUGUUGGAACAUUAUUAAAGACGUAUCAGCGCAGUGGCGGCGCAGGAUCAGCAUUGGCAAGUGCUGUUUGUGCAGCUCCUGCUGCUGCCGUAGCAUGAACCUGUUUCAGCAUACGCAGAGGUUGGAAAAAAGCUAUUGGACUGGUAGGCAUGCCUCUGGAAACUAGUAGGCGUGACUGAUAUGGUGCUCAAAGGACCGGGAAAGCUUAAACUGCAAAUGGUCAAGGAAGUGGUGAAAAUUCCAAGAUGGAGUAUGAAAGUCAAAAUUUGAUCAUAUAAAUGGUAAUGACUGCAGUUCAUAUGCAUUCAAAAGGUUUUUCGCACCAGAACAUCAAACCAGAUAAUUUACUUAUGCAUAUUGGACAGAAAACCAAUCAAGUUGGAAAAAAGCCAUUUGCACUGGUAGGCAUGCCUCUGGAAACUAGUACGCGGCUGAUAUGGUGCUCAAAGGACCGAGAAAGCUUAAACUGAAAAUGGUCAAGGAAGUGGUGAAAAUUCCAAGAUGGAGCAUGAAAAUUAAAGUUUGAUCAUAUAAAUGCUUAGGGAUGAGAUAAUGGACCUGAUUUGAGCUAGUUUCUCAGAAAAUGAAGGCAUAGAUGGUGCAGGUUUUUGUUUGCAGCUUAGUGUGUUGAAGUUUUUAUGGUUAGACUUGUAAUACAGAAAUGUAUGUUAAGGUUUUCCAACUUAGUAUUGAAGUUUUCCAGAUUUGGAACUUGCAGUAUUUUAGAUAACUGAUUUGUAAAGUGAAUACACUUUUCAAUACAAAUUGAGUUUUAAAGUUAUUAUCAA